GAAGGCAUAUGCAGAGCAUGCGGUAUCGACAGGGAUGACUGUAAUGUUCUUCUGUGUGAUAGAUGUGAUUCUGGUUACCAUACAUACUGCCUCAAUCCUCCACUUAUGCGAAUCCCUGCUGGUAAUUGGUACUGUCCUCUAUGUACUCCUAGUCAACCCAUGGAAGAUGAUGGUACACAAAUUCCUCAAUUGGUUAGCAAGGGGAUGAAAAAGACCAGUCAUGGAGAGUUCAUCCAUGCAUUCAUAGAGGAACUUGGUGAUCUGAAUACAACCAUGGGAGUGAACGAUUACUGGGACUACAGCACAAAGGAGGUUAGUCCCUGUCUUGCUAACAUUAGUUGAAAUGAAGUAUAUGUCCCAACAAAUUUCUGUCAUAGUUUUUUCUCAAGUUUCUACUUUCAGUUCCCUUUUUAAAAACCGCUGACAAUCACUUAGGGAUAGUGCUGCAUGUUUAAUACAAUUGACCCAGAAAAAUAGUUUAGUCCCUGAAAAAUCAAAUUUCUUAGAAGAGUUAAUUUAAAAUUCUAACAAUCAAUACAACGAUUACUGCAUUUAUGAGAACUUGGUUUCUAUUGAUGAUUAUAAGAAAAUUUGAGUCUCCCUUGUCUGUAACUAUUGGUCCCUAUUUCACUCCUAGAAUAUAAUGAGAAAUUCCAUGGUAGUUAACCUUAUUACAUCUGUUGGUUUUGUUUUGUAUGGCGUAGAGAGUCCAGCUUCUGAAAUUAUUGACUGAAGAAGUCGCGAGCUACAGCACCAUCAGGCCCCACCUUGACCAAUGUACCAUAAUCUCUGCGGAUCUGCAGCAGAACGUACGAUCAGUUUCUGUAGAACUGGGAGAGUUGAAGUGCAGAGAAAAAAUCCUAGCAAACAAGGAGGCAAAAGCAAAUACCAAUAUGUUCAACGGUUUUGGCUGGCCUAGAGCAGGUGGGGAGACUAACUGGCCUGCAUCUUUUGUGAAAAUGAUGGGAUGCAAUGGAAGCACUUCAUAUUCAUCUGACUAUUCGGAGAAUGUUGCCCUGAGGCACGGAAUGGACACAU
rnacentral:lncRNA from 1 species